UACGGGGGGGCAAGCGUUGUUCGGAAUUAUCUGGGCGUAAAGGGUGCGUAGGCGGUCCGCUAAGUUGGAUGUGAAAACGUCUGGGCUUAACCCAGAGCCUGCAUUCAAAACUGACGGGCUAGAGUUCUGGAGGGGUAGCGGAAGUCCUGGUGUAGCGGUGAAAUGACGUAGAUAUCAGGAGGAACACCGGUGGCGAAGGCGGCUACCUGGACAGAAACUGACGCUGAGGCACGAAAGCUAGGGGAGCAAACAGG
rnacentral:rRNA from 1 species